GCACAUCUGACUCCAUUUGACCAAUCAAAUGGAGCCAGGCAGUCACAUGACUGUACACAGUCUCCACAGCCCCAGUCUCAUGCAGAUGUAAACUUUUCAAAGUGAAUGAUUUACGUGGCAGAAAUCGAUAUUUACCUUAAAAACCCAAGCCUACAAGAACAACACUUGGAACUUGAGAAACAUACACGAGGAUGUUUCAGUCUGCAUUUUGCUAAAUGUAAUGUUCUGUGGAAUGAAUGCAGGAGGUCAACCACAGCACGUUUCUUUGUCCGUCGCUGGAGAAAGGGUCGUGCGCAUUCAAAAGGAGCAGUGAGCAAAUGCAAUGUGCACUGAAGAGCGAGAUGAAGAAACUAUGGAGUUGGUCCCCACCCCCCUUCACAGCCUUGCACUCUUCAGGGAAUAUUUUCUACAGUUUUGAAAUCUGUCAGUGGGGAUUUUUUUUCUUUUUUCUCGAAGAACAUUUGUGAGGACAAGACCAUCUUGAUGGGUUUGAGGUCAACGGCGUGAAGUUCUUCCACACCAAACUCACAAACUUCCUCACAGUCAUGCUGGAACAACAACUUCAACCUGUUCCCACAAGAUUGGAAGUAUAAAAAUAAUGAAGCCCAACCAGCAAUAAUUGAUGAAUAACUGACAAGACAAGAUGCAAGAUUAAAGGUCCCAGCCCUCAAUUUAUGCACCUACCUCGUCCCCAUCAGCCUUGAGCAUGCUGUAUUUUCCACCUCCACCUCUCCGUCCGCUCGCUGGCUGGCCGCUCUCCAAG